UCUCUUCUCAUCUCAACCAGCUCAACGUGUACGAGCGUGUUGUGAAUGGAAAGGAAACUUUCAUGCUUGGUCUCGUUCGUUUCAGCUUACUUGGUGGAAAGCGCAAAAGACACGAGUGGAAUAUGGGAAAGGAAAGGAACCAAAACCUGCUGAAUCUGAUCUCAAGUUUGUGAAUGGGUUGCAGAUAAUUGUAUUAUCUUGGGCUGAAUGUUCAACUCGAUGGAGGAUCGAGUCUAUGGAAAAAUCGAGUCAUCACCAUGUUAUGUACAUGAUACGGUCCCAGGGGUGUGGACUGCAUUGACCGAGAUGUAGGCCCAUGCCCGACAAUGAGUCCCGGAUUUUUGAGCUAUACCGAGAGAUCUCUCAUCCUCUAGACUUCCUAGGACUCUAUAUUGCCGAUAUUUUGGAUUCUCGUCAGACUAGAUGGGAGGAAAUUGCUCAAUACGAGGCCACUAGUGAUUUUCCUCGUGAUGGAGCAGUUGAGUCCAAACACCGUGAUCGUCUACAUACAUCAAUUUUUGAUGGGUUUGAAACCUGAGUCGAGACUCUUCGCACUAAGAUUAAACAACAUACCACUGCCUUCCCUUUAUGAGGCGUUUGCUAUAGUAGGAUGGUGAUGGCGGGAGGCGUCGUCUGUACCAUCUCUUUAACUACCCGAGUCCUCUCCUAUUGUUCCAGAAACAGAUGGCAUUGCUUCUUCUUCAGGAGACUCACUUAUAUUGUCAGCCUUGUCACAAGCCGCGUCACCUAAUUGAUGGUUGUGGGUUCUCCAUCCUGAGAUGAAGCAACAGUUUAUCGACCUCGUGGAGGUGGUCGUGGGGGGCGGAAGGUAGUGGGGGCCGAGGGUAGAGGCACUCCCGGACUGGCGCUAUUGACUGAAGGGGAACCCAUUUACCUGCUAAUUUACAUGAUUAAACAACUUCAGCUCCAGAUUGCUCAGCUGCAGUCACACUUGGAUUAGCUAACUGCCUCCGAGUCCUCUGGCCCCCAGCAGCUAUAGUUGAAGAGAUCUCUACCGCUCUCAUGGUAAAGUUUAGGUCACCCCAGUGGAUUUUGAUUCAGGAGCAAAUAUCGUAUGACUGGGGAGCUUACUACCUUUUAACUCUGUUACUUCUGUUCAUCAAAGUUUGUAUUGCUGAGGAUUUCAUUCAUUCCCAUUGUAGUCAGGGAGUUACUCGUUUAUCCUCCGAUAUUACCCUUUAACUGUAUAUUAUGACCUCAUUUGGCCUUAAUCUUCUUCUGAGUCGUUAUUGCAAAAGCUCUAUGUGCGUUGUUGUUCUUACAUCUCAUUGCUUCUUGCAGAGGACAUGACUUCGAAGAAGAUUUUGGCAGGGUAUGAGCGCGCGAUGGACUUACACUUUGGGGAUCCUUACCAUCUAGUACGGGUGAUUCAUCUAGCCUCUACACGUUUUCUCUCCCUACCCAGUGUAGAGAGUCAUCUGUUUUAAGUAGUUGGUUUAAAGUCGUCUGUUUUUAGUUCACAACCUUAGAGUUGUGGCAUGCUCGUUUAGGCAUGCUAACUUCAAUAUGUAUGUUGGCUUUUUCCCUCGUUCAAGUAAAGCAUGUCAAAAAUUUAAUUUUAAAUGGCUGUUUGUGUGUUAUCUAAGCAUACUCGUGUCUCUUAAGUCCUCGUAUGCAUUGUGCAGGCCUAGUGCCUUUGACCUUAUUCAUUCAGAUGAUGGGACCGUCUCCAGGACGCACUCUAUCAACACCCAUACUAUGUCACUUCAUAAAUGAUUACACGCGUUGUACUGGUUAACCCUUGUAGGCGUAAAAAUUUGAGGUCUUUUCUCACUUUACUCACUUUUACAAAAUGAUCAAAACCAAUAUAACAACUGAGUUGUGCCGUAACAUCACGGUCCGAUAAUGUCGAGAGUAUACACGAAAUGAGUUUCGUGCGGAACUAAAAAGUGGAUAAUCCAACAAUCAUUGUCCUUACACACCUAGCCACAGAAUGGGUAAGCUGGAGCGUAAAAUUAGUCAUUAUUAUGUCAGUGGUUGGUGUCUCUUACGGGGAUGAGGGUACUACAGUAUUCUGGCAAUGGCAGUUAUCACUGCGUACCGACUUAUCAAUCGACUCCCAGUCGGGUAUUAAAAGGCACGGCUCCUCCUCCAUGUCCUUCAGCCUGCUUAGUACCCUAUUUCCUAUUAUCCCCAGUGUCUUGGGUGCACAAUGUUUGUUCAAAUCGGAAGCUCCCCAACCCGUACUAGCUAAUGAUAACCGGCCGACUUGUAUAUUCUCGGUAUUCUCGAGUCCAAGGGGUUUAUAGGGGUUAUGAUAUGAUGCAAUCGUCAUUAUGUAUCACUCGUUAGAUGUUACGUUUUGGAAACUGUUCCCUUUUUUUUCUAAUUGUCCCCGUCUCCGGGUUCUGGUUCGAGAUGCUUACGGACAGAUGACACCAUAACUCCUCGCCUCUUCCUCUACUUGAAGCCUACUUAUCAAUCCUCCACCUAUGCGCUCAAUGCCCCAGAUCGCCUCUCAGGGACCCCAGUCCCCGCG
rnacentral:lncRNA from 1 species